rnacentral:rRNA from 1 species
AGUGAACGCUGGCGGUAGGCCUAACACAUGCAAGUCGAACGGCAGCACAGUAAGAGCUUGCUCUUACGGGUGGCGAGUGGCGGACGGGUGAGGAAUACAUCGGAAUCUACUUUUUCGUGGGGGAUAACGUAGGGAAACUUACGCUAAUACCGCAUACGACCUACGGGUGAAAGCAGGGGAUCUUCGGACCUUGCGCGAUUGAAUGAGCCGAUGUCGGAUUAGCUAGUUGGCGGGGUAAAGGCCCCCAAGGCGACGAUCCGUAGCUGGUCUGAGAGGAUGAUCAGCCACACUGGAACUGAGACACGGUCCAGACUCCUACGGGAGGCAGCAGUGGGGAAUAUUGGACAAUGGGCGCAAGCCUGAUCCAGCCAUACCGCGUGGGUGAAGAAGGCCUUCGGGUUGUAAAGCCCUUUUGUUGGGAAAGAAAAGCAGCAGGUUAAUACCCCGCUGUUCUGACGGUACCCAAAGAAUAAGCACCGGCUAACUUCGU